rnacentral:rRNA from 1 species
AGAGUUUGAUCAUGGCUCGGGACGAUACGCUGGCGGCGUGCCUAACACAUACAAGUCGAACGAGAAACCAAGCCUUUGAUUCCUUCGGGACGAUAAGGCCGGUAGAAAAUGAGCGAACGAGUGAGUAACGCGUGGGUAAUCUACCCUGUAAGUGGGGGAUAACCCUCCGAAAAGGAGGGCUAAUACCGCAUAACAUCUUCCCUUCAUAAGAAGGAGGGAUUAAAGAUGGCCUCUUUAUAUGCUAUCACUUCAGGAUGAGUCCGCGUCCUAUUAGUUAGUUGGUAGGGUAAUGGCCUACCAAGACCACAAUGGGUAGCCGGUCUGAGAGGAUGUACGGCCACACUGGGACUGAGAUACGGCCCAGACUACUACGGGAGGCAGC